GAACUUAAGCAUAUCAAUAAGCGGAGGAAGAGAAACCAACAGGGAUUGCCCUAGUAACGGCGAGUGAAGCGGCAACAGCUCAAAUUUGAAAUCUGGCGCAAGCCCGAGUUGUAAUUUGUAGAGGAUGUUUCUGGCGACGUGCCUUCCGAGUUCCCUGGAACGGGACGCCAUAGAGGGUGAGAGCCCCGUACGGUUGGAUGCCUAGCCUCUGUGAAACUCCUUCGACGAGUCGAGUAGUUUGGGAAUGCUGCUCUAAAUGGGAGGUAUACGUCUUCUAAAGCUAAAUAUCGGCCAGAGACCGAUAGCGCACAAGUAGAGUGAUCGAAAGAUGAAAAGCACUUUGAAAAGAGGGUUAAAAAGUACGUGAAAUUGUUGAAAGGGAAGCGUUCAUGACCAGACUUGGGCAGGUUGAUCAUCCGUGGUUCUCCGCGGUGCACUCUGCCUGCCCAGGCCAGCAUCAGUUCGCCCCGGGGGAUAAAGGUUUCGGGAAUGUGGCUCCUCCGGGAGUGUUAUAGCCCGUUGCGUAAUACCCUGGGGCGGACUGAGGUUCGCGCACUGCAAGGAUGCUGGCGUAAUGGUCAUCAACGACCCGUCUUGAAACACGGACCAAGGAGUCGUCUUCGUAUGCGAGUGUUCGGGUGUCAAACCCCUACGCGUAAUGAAAGUGAACGUAGGAGAGAGCUUCGGCGCAUCUCCGACCGAUCCUGAUGUUCUCGGAUGGAUUUGAGUAAGAGCAUACGGGGCCGGACCCGAAA
rnacentral:rRNA from 1 species